rnacentral:rRNA from 1 species
GACGAACGCUGGCGGCGUGCUUAACACAUGCAAGUCGAACGGUAAGGCCCUUCGGGGUACACGAGUGGAGAACGGGUGAGUAACACGUGGGUGAUCUGCCCUGCCCUUCGGGAUAAGCCUGGGAAACUGGGUCUAAUACCGGAUAGGACCACUGCCUGCAUGGGUGGGGGUGGAAAGCUUUUGCGGUGUGGGAUGGGCCCGCGGCCUAUCAGUUUGUUGGUGGGGUGAUGGCCUACCAAGGCGACGACGGGUAGCCGGCCUGAGAGGGUGACCGGCCACACUGGGACUGAGAUACGGCCCAGACUCAUACGGGAGGCAGCAGUGGGGAAUAUUGCACAAUGGGCGCAAGCCUGAUGCAGCGACGCCGCGUGAGGGAUGACGGCCUUCGGGUUGUAAACCUCUUUCAGCACCGACGAAGCGCAAGUGACGGUAGGUGCAGAAGAAGGACCGGCCAACUACGUGCCAGCCGCCGCCGUAA